AUAAACUCUGAUGAGUUUGAAUUAGCUAUAAUUUUAUACAUUUAGGGAGAAAUAGCAUAUAUCAUUUAUUAUUAUACCAUAUCAAAUUUUCAAAAUUAUAUGAAAAACUAGUUAGGCAUGGUUUGAGUGGCAAAUCACAUUACUUGAACUUGGCAGUACUUGUUACUCGAAUUAAAUCCCAUUUUAAUAAGGGCCUAUAUAGUUGAUUAUGUUGCUUUACACAUCAAAAUUGACUCACCAAUUUAAUUUUGCAAUUCAAUCAUUUAUAUUUUGCACUUUCAUUUUGUAAAUUCCCAAUGUGGGACAGGUAUUCCCAAUAAAAUUCCAGUAAUAGAAAACUAGCUUGACUUUUUAUUCCGCUACACUCAAACACUCUGUUUUAGCACAGAUAACCGCUUCAUUCAACCCAUUUUCG
rnacentral:misc_RNA from 1 species